rnacentral:hammerhead_ribozyme from 1 species
AUCUAGCUGACGUGUCUCAAAUAGGACGAUACGGAAGUUCUAGAU